AGCCAGAGUUUAUUGUAUGACUCGGCUGGCGGCUUCCGGGAAACCAAAGUUUUUCGGUUCCAGGGGAAGUAUGGUUGCAAAGCUGAAACUUAAAGGAAUUGACGGAAGGGCACCACCAGGAGUGGAGCCUGCGGCUUAAUUUGACUCAACACGGGAAAACUCACCCGGUCCGGACACUGGGAGGAUUGACAGAUUAAGAGCUCUUUCUUGAUUCAGUGGGUGGCGGUGCAUGGCCGUUCUUAGUUGGUGGAGCGAUUUGUCUGGUUAAUUCCGAUAACGAACGAGACUCUAGCCUACUAAAUAGUGUUGAACACCCGUUGUGUUGUUCGAACGCUUCUUAGAGGGACAAACGGCGUUUCAGCCGUAUGAAAAAGAGCAAUAACAGGUCUGUGAUGCCCUUAGAUGUCCGGGGCCGCACGCGCGCUACACUGAAAAAAUCAGCGUGCAUGUGUCUACCUACUUCGAAAGAAGCGGGAAACCGAGUGAAACUUUUUCGUGAUUGGGAUUGGGGAUUGUAAUUGUUGUCCAUGAACGAGGAAUUCCCAGUAAGCACAAGUCAUCAGCUUGUGUUGAUUACGUCCCUGCCCUUUGUACACACCGCCCGUCGCUACUACCGAUUGGAUGUUUUAGUGAGGUCUUCGGACAGGCCAACGUAGCCAUCCUCGUGGUGGCCAUGUUCGCCGGAAAGAUGACC
rnacentral:rRNA from 1 species